UACAGAGAGUGCAAACGUUGUUCGGAAUUACUGGGCUUAAAGCGCGCGUAGGCGGCACUGUAAGUGUCUGGUGAAAUCCCACGGCUCACCCGUGGAACUGCCGGGCAUACUGCGGUGCUAGAGUGUGGUAGGGGAGAGCGGAACUCCUGGUGGAGCGGUGAAAUGCGUAGAUAUCAGGAGGAACACCGGUGGCGAAGGCGGCUCUCUGGUCCAUAACUGACGCUGAGGUGCGAAAGCUAGGGGAGCAAACGGG
rnacentral:rRNA from 1 species